rnacentral:rRNA from 1 species
UACGGAGGGGGCUAGCGUUGUUCGGAAUUAUUGGGCGUAAAGGGUGCGUAGGCGGCCUGACAAGUCUGAUGUGAAAUCCCUGGGCUCAACCCAGGGCCUGCAUCGGAAACUGUCGGGCUUGAGUAUGGGAGAGGUGAGUGGAAUUUCCGGUGUAGCGGUGAAAUGCGUAGAUAUCGGAAGGAACACCUGUGGCGAAAGCGGCUCACUGGACCAUAACUGACGCUGAUGCACGAAAGCUGGGGGAGCAAACAGG